UUCCUGGUGGCUCAGAUGGUACAGCAUCUGCCUGCAAUGCAGGAGACCCAGGUUCGAUCCCUGGGUUGGGAA
rnacentral:tRNA from 1 species